rnacentral:rRNA from 1 species
GACAGAGGGUGCAAACGUUGCUCGGAAUUACUGGGCGUAAAGCGUGCGCAGACGGUCACGUAAGUCGGGUGUGAAAGCCCCGGGCUCAACCUGGGAAUUGCAUUCGAGACUGCGUGGCUAGGGUGCGGAAGAGGGAAGCGGAAUUUCCGGUGUAGCGGUGAAAUGCGUAGAUAUCGGAAGGAACACCAGUGGCGAAAGCGGCUUCCUGGUCCAGCACCGACGUCAGGCACGAAAGCGUGGGGAGCAAACAGG